rnacentral:rRNA from 1 species
GGUUAAGCGACUAAGCGUACACGGUGGAUGCCCUGGCAGUCAGAGGCGAUGAAGGACGUGCUAAUCUGCGAAAAGCGUCGGUAAGGUGAUAUGAACCGUUACAGCCGGCGAUGUCCGAAUGGGGAAACCCAGUGCAAUUCGUUGCACUAUCGUUAACUGAAUACAUAGGUUAACGAGGCGAACCGGGGGAACUGAAACAUCUAAGUACCCCGAGGAAAAGAAAUCAACCGAGAUUCCCCCAGUAGCGGCGAGCGAACGGGGAGCAGCCCGGAGUCUGAAUCAGCUUGUGUGUUAGUGGAAGCGUCUGGAAAGUCGCAGGGUACAGGGUGAUACUCCCGUACACUAAAGCACACAGGUUGUGAACUCGAAGAGUAGGGCGGGACACGUGGUAUCCUGUCUGAAUAUGGGGGGACCAUCCUCCAAGGCUAAAUACUCCUGACUGACCGAUAGUGAACCAGUACCGUGAGGGAAAGGCGAAAAGAACCCCGGCGAGGGGAGUGAAAAAGAACCUGAAACCGUGUACGUACAAGCAGUAGGAGCCCACUAGUUGGGUGACUGCGUACCUUUUGUAUAAUGGGUCAGCGACUUAUAUUCUGUAGCAAGGUUAACCGUAUAGGGGAGCCGCAGGGAAACCGAGUCUUAACUGGGCGUUAAGUUGCAGGGUAUAGACCCGAAACCCGGUGAUCUAGCCAUGGGCAGGUUGAAGGUUGGGUAACACUAACUGGAGGACCGAACCGACUAAUGUUGAAAAAUUAGCGGAUGACUUGUGGCUGGGGGUGAAAGGCCAAUCAAACCGGGAGAUAGCUGGUUCUCCCCGAAAGCUAUUUAGGUAGCGCCUCGUGAAUUCAUCUUCGGGGGUAGAGCACUGUUUCGGCUAGGGGGUCAUCCCGACUUACCAACCCGAUGCAAACUACGAAUACCGAAGAAUGUUAUCACGGGAGACACACGGCGGGUGCUAACGUCCGUCGUGAAGAGGGAAACAACCCAGACCGCCAGCUAAGGUCCCAAAGUCAUGGUUAAGUGGGAAACGAUGUGGGAAGGCCCAGACAGCCAGGAUGUUGGCUUAGAAGCAGCCAUCAUUUAAAGAAAGCGUAAUAGCUCACUGGUCGAGUCGGCCUGCGCGGAAGAUGUAACGGGGCUAAACCAUGCACCGAAGCUGCGGCAGCGACACUAUGUGUUGUUGGGUAGGGGAGCGUUCUGUAAGCCGUUGAAGGUGGCCUGUGAGGGUUGCUGGAGGUAUCAGAAGUGCGAAUGCUGACAUAAGUAACGAUAAUGCGGGUGAAAAACCCGCACGCCGGAAGACCAAGGGUUCCUGUCCAACGUUAAUCGGGGCAGGGUGAGUCGACCCCUAAGGCGAGGCCGAAAGGCGUAGUCGAUGGGAAACAGGUUAAUAUUCCUGUACUCGGUGUUACUGCGAAGGGGGGACGGAGAAGGCUAUGUUGGUACGGGCGACGGUUGUCCCGGUUUAAGCAUGUAGGCGGAUGUUCCAGGUAAAUCCGGAACGUCACUAACGCUGAGGUGUGAUGACGAGGCACUACGGUGCUGAAGUGACAAAUGCCCUGCUUCCAGGAAAAGCCUCUAAGCAUCAGGUAACAUCAAAUCGUACCCCAAACCGACACAGGUGGUCAGGUAGAGAAUACCAAGGCGCUUGAGAGAACUCGGGUGAAGGAACUAGGCAAAAUGGUGCCGUAACUUCGGGAGAAGGCACGCUGAUGGUAGGUGAAGCGACUUGCUCGUGGAGCUGAAAUCAGUCGAAGAUACCAGCUGGCUGCAACUGUUUAUUAAAAACACAGCACUGUGCAAACACGAAAGUGGACGUAUACGGUGUGACGCCUGCCCGGUGCCGGAAGGUUAAUUGAUGGGGUUAUCCGUAAGGAGAAGCUCUUGAUCGAAGCCCCGGUAAACGGCGGUACCGUAACUAUAACGGUCCUAAGGUAGCGAAAUUCCUUGUCGGGUAAGUUCCGACCUGCACGAAUGGCGUAAUGAUGGCCAGGCUGUCUCCACCCGAGACUCAGUGAAAUUGAACUCGCUGUGAAGAUGCAGUGUACCCGCGGCAAGACGGAAAGACCCCGUGAACCUUUACUAUAGCUUGACACUGAACACUGGUCCUUGAUGUGUAGGAUAGGUGGGAGGCUUUGAAGUGUGGACGCCAGUCUGCAUGGAGCCAUCCUUGAAAUACCACCCUUUAAUGGCUGGUGUUCUAACGUGGGCCCCUAAUCGGGGUUGCGGACAGUGUCUGGUGGGUAGUUUGACUGGGGCGGUCUCCUCCUAAAGAGUAACGGAGGAGCACGAAGGUCAGCUAAUCCUGGUCGGACAUCAGGAGGUUAGUGCAAUGGCAUAAGCUGGCUUGACUGCGAGCGUGACGGCGCGAGCAGGUGCGAAAGCAGGUCAUAGUGAUCCGGUGGUUCUGAAUGGAAGGGCCAUCGCUCAACGGAUAAAAGGUACUCCGGGGAUAACAGGCUGAUACCGCCCAAGAGUUCAUAUCGACGGCGGUGUUUGGCACCUCGAUGUCGGCUCAUCACAUCCUGGGGCUGAAGUAGGUCCCAAGGGUAUGGCUGUUCGCCAUUUAAAGUGGUACGCGAGCUGGGUUUAGAACGUCGUGAGACAGUUCGGUCCCUAUCUGCCGUGGGCGCUGGAGAAUUGAGGGGGGCUGCUCCUAGUACGAGAGGACCGGAGUGGACGCAUCACUGGUGUUCGGGUUGUCAUGCCAAUGGCAUUGCCCGGUAGCUAAAUGCGGAAGAGAUAAGUGCUGAAAGCAUCUAAGCACGAAACUUGCCCCGAGAUGAGUUCUCCCUGACCCUUUAAGGGUCCUGAAGGAACGUUGAAGACGACGACGUUGAUAGGCCGGGUGUGUAAGCGCAGCGAUGCGUUGAGCUAACCGGUACUAAUGAACCGUGAGGCUUAACCUU